rnacentral:rRNA from 1 species
GACGUAGGGCGCGAGCGUUGUCCGGAUUUAUUGGGCGUAAAGAGCUCUAGGCGGCUUGUCGCGUCGACUGUGAAAACCCCGCGGCUCAACCGUGUGGUCUGCAGUCGAUACGGGCAGGCUAGAGUUCGGUAGGGGAGACUGGAAUUCCUGGUGUAGCGGUGAAAUGCGCAGAUAUCAGGGAGGAACACCGGUGGCGAAGGCGGCUUUCUGGGCCUUACCUGACG